GCGGGUGUAGCGCAGCAGAGGGGCCUGGCCGACCUUCUCGCGGCUCUUGCGCUCCUCCCGCCGCCGCUCGAACUCCUCGAAGGAGAUCUUCCCCUCCAGAAUCCCAAGUAUUACAAGUUGGAAGGAAAAGCACCAAACUGCUCCACAUCAGUACCUGAGCAAAGACUAAAGGCAAAUGUUCACCACAACACUCAUUAGCGUGUUUGUGCAACAAAAGUACAGCUCCAAAAAAUGAGCUUGUGUAUGAAGAUCUGAUUAAGAUGGCAAACCAAAAUCAGAAGUAAAAUACAAUAAAUACCAA